ACGGGUGAGUAAUGCUUCGGAAUCUACCUAGUAGUGGGGAAUAACUAACCGAAAGGUUAGCUAAUGCCGCAUACGACCUACGGGUGAAAGGGGGGGAUCGUAAGACCUCUCGCUAUUGGAUGAGCCGAAGUCGGAUUAGCUAGUUGGUAGGGUAACGGCCUACCAAGGCGACAAUCCGUAGCUGGUCUGAGAGGACGACCAGCCACACUGGGACUGAGACACGGCCCAGACUCCUACGGGAGGCAGCAGUGGGGAAUAUUGGACAAUGGGGGAAACCCUGAUCCAGCGACGCCGCGUGUGUGAAGAAGGCCUGCGGGUUGUAAAGCACUUUUAGUGGGGAUGAAAAGCUCAGGGCUAAUAACCUUGGGUCUUGACCUAACCCAAAGAAAAAGCACCGGCUAACUCUGUGCCAGCAGCCGCGG
rnacentral:rRNA from 1 species